CGGGGAUUAGCUCAGAUGGCUAGAGUACCUGGUUUGGGACCAGGGGGUCGCGAGUUCGAGUCCCGCAUCCCCGA
rnacentral:tRNA from 1 species